CGCUGAAACACCGGUUCUCGUACGAUCACCGAAGUUAAGCAGCGUAGAGCCAGGUCAGUACUCAGAUGGGGGACCGCUUGGGAACACCUGGUACUGUAAG
rnacentral:rRNA from 1 species